rnacentral:rRNA from 1 species
GCGCAGCCGCGGUAAUUCCAGCUCCAUUAGCGUAUAUUAAAGUUGUUGCAGUUAAAAAGCUCGUAGUUGGAUUUCGGUGUGGGCCAGUGGGUCGGCCGCGAGGCCUGUUACUGACUGGUCCGCUCUUCCUCUCAAAGACUGCGCGUGCCCUUCGCUGGGUGUGCGUAUUUGGAUUUGGGACGUUUACUUUGAAAAAAUUAGAGUGUUCAAGGCAGGCUCGCCAGCUUGAAUACAUGAGCAUGGAAUAAUGGAAUAGGACUACGGUCCCUAUUUCGUUGGUUUGACGGACCGAAGUAAUGAUUAAGAGGGACAAUUGGGGGCAUCCGUAUUUCGUAGUCAGAGGUGAAAUUCUUGGACCUACGAAAGACGAACAACUGCGAAAGCAUUUGCCAAGAGUGUU